UACGGGGGGGCAAGCGUUGUUCGGAAUUACUGGCGUAAAGGGCUCGUAGGUGGCCAACUAAGUCAUACGUGAAAUCCCUCGGCUUAACCGGGGAACUGCGUCUGAUACUGGAUGGCUUGAGGUUGGGAGAGGGAUGCGGAAUUCCAGGUGUAGCGGUGAAAUGCGUAGAUAUCUGGAGGAACACCGGUGGCGAAGGCGGCAUCCUGGACCACGACUGACACUGAAAAGCGAAAGCCAGGGGAGCAAACGGG
rnacentral:rRNA from 1 species